rnacentral:rRNA from 1 species
GACGAACGCUGGCGGCGUGCUUAACACAUGCAAGUCGAGCGAACGGACGAGAAGCUUGUUUGUCUGAUGUUAGCGGCGGACGGGUGAGUAACACGUGGAUAAUCUCCUUAUAAGUCUGGGAUAACUUCGGGAAACCGGAGCUAAUAGCGGAUGAUAUUCUGAACCGCAUGGUUCAAAAGUGAAAGACGGUCUUGCUGUCACUUAUAGAUGGAUCCGCGCUGCAUUAGCUGGUUGGUAAGGUAAAGGCUUACCAAGGCAACGAGGCAUAGCCGACCUGAGAGGGGGGUCGGCCGCCCGGGAGCUGAGACACGGUCCAGACGCCUACGGGAGGCAGCAGUAGGGUAUCGUCCGCAGUGGGCGGAAGCCUGACGGAGCAACGCCGCGUGAGUGAUGAAGGUCUUCGGAUCGUAAAGCUCUGUUAUUGGUGAUGAACAUAUGUGUAAGUAACUGUGCACAUCUUGACGGUACCUGAUCAGAAAGCCACGGCUAACUACGUG